CUCCAGAGGGAAGUAUUUUCUGUUGUCUGAAGGAAAAGAAAGUGCUUCCCUUUGGACUGU
rnacentral:pre_miRNA from 1 species